AGUGAACGCUGGCGGUAGGCCUAACACAUGCAAGUCGAACGGCAGCACAGUAAGAGCUUGCUCUUCCGGGUGGCGAGUGGCGUACGGGUGAGGAAUACAUCGGAAUCUACUUUUUCGUGGGGGAUAACGUAGGGAAACUUACGCUAAUACCGCAUACGACCUACGGGUUAAAGCAGGGGAUCUUCGGACCUUGCGCGAUUGAAUGAGCCGAUGUCGGAUUAGCUAGUUGGCGGGGUAAAGGCCCACCAAGGCGACGAUCCGUAGCUGGUCUGAGAGGAUGAUCAGCCACACUGGAACUGAGACACGGUCCAGACUCCUACGGGAGGCAGCAGUGGGGAAUAUUGGACAAUGGGCGCAAGCCUGAUCCAGCCAUACCGCGUGGGUGAAGAAGGCCUUCGGGUUGUAAAGCCCUUUUGUUGGGAAAGAAAAGCAGCAGGUUAAUACCCCGCUGUUCUGACGGUACCCAAAGAAUAAGCACCGGCUAACUUCGUG
rnacentral:rRNA from 1 species